rnacentral:lncRNA from 1 species
GGAGUUGUUCAGCUGCUGUGCCUAGUAACUGUUGGAAGAAUUAAUGAAUUCCUGUUGUAUUUGCUGUGGGUCAGUAAGCCUUAUGUGAUUGUCAUUGAGGAUGCUGCUUACUCUAUUUCUUGCUUGUCUGGAUUUCAUGUAGGCAUGGAAGUAUUUUGUGUUUCUGUCUCCCAAUUGAAUCCAGUUUGCUUUAGACUUCUGUCUCAGUAUUUGUUGCUGAAUA